rnacentral:lncRNA from 12 species
AUGACAUGGUCUUCUCUUUCUGUUGUCUCCAUGGUGACAAGAACUCUGCAUCUUGUGUCUGAGAUUUGCUAUGGAUUGGAUCUUAUAUCCAAGGUUUUCUCUGAUGACAAGGAUGAAACUUUCUUCAUAAGAAGACUUAUGAACAAGGUGAGACCUGCUAUAGAAAAUACGGACAGUGGCAAUUUCCGUAGUCUGAUGUGAAAUGAUCAUGACGUGGACCAGACAAAAGUCAAAGGAAAAGCUUUGACAUACUGAGUCAUAACCUAGGAAACCAUAAAGAAUCUUCUAACGGUAAUAUUAGUAAGUAAUAUAAAUAUUUAUAGAAAAAGAAUAACUAUAAUAAUUAACAUUUCUUGGGUAAUAGUGAUAAUAAUAAACCUUUGAGCACUCAAUAUAUGCCA